CUCUGUGCUAUCAGGGAGGCAGGCUGUGGAGAGGAGAGGCUGGAUGUGGUCAACACUGGAAAGAAGCUUUCAGGGAGACAACGCCAGGACCCUGCAGGAGAGAAACAAGAGGCUGGUGCUUUCAUAAUAAGGGGGUGGGACUCUUUACCAACUGAGCCACCAGGGAAGCCUGGCCAUCAGUAGGAGAUCUGCAUUCUGGGUGAGAACACAGAGACUCAAAGAAGUCAGCCAACUUUCCCAAGGCCUGAGUGCCCUAAGUGACUGAUCAAAGAUUGGAGACAAGCCGAGCUCCUUGCUACCUGGCCAAGGAGAAAUCAUGGAGCAGACUGGUUUUCAUACUGUGGGUUGUAAACAAUUUAUGGGUCAUGAAGAGUAUUCAGAGGUUA
ensembl:lncRNA